UACGUAGGGAGCAAGCGUUUGUCCGGAAUCAUUGGGCGUAAAGAGCGUGUAGGCGGCCAGAUAAGUCCGCUGUGAAAUCUCGAGGCUCAACUUCGAGCUGUCGGUGGAAACUGUCUGGCUAGAGUCCGGAAGAGGAGAAUGGAAUUCCUGGUGUAGCGGUGAAAUGCGCAGAUAUCAGGAAGAACACCCGUGGCGAAGGCGGUUCUCUGGGACGGUACUGACGCUGAGACGCGAAAGCGUGGGGAGCGAACAGG
rnacentral:rRNA from 1 species